UUAAGCGACUAAGCGUACACGGUGGAUGCCCUGGCAGUCAGAGGCGAUGAAGGGCGUGCUAAUCUGCGAUAAGCGCCGGUAAGGUGAUAUGAACCGUUAUAACCGGCGAUACCCGAAUGGGGAAACCCAGUGUGACUCGUCACACUAUCAUUAACUGAAUCCAUAGGUUAAUGAGGCGAACCGGGGGAACUGAAACAUCUAAGUACCCCGAGGAAAAGAAAUCAACCGAGAUUCCCCCAGUAGCGGCGAGCGAACGGGGAGGAGCCCAGAGCCUGAAUCAGCAUGUGUGUUAGUGGAAGCGUCUGGAAAGGCGCGCGAUACAGGGUGACAGCCCCGUACACAAAAGCGCAUGUGCUGUGAGCUCGAUGAGUAGGGCGGGACACGUGGUAUCCUGUCUGAAUAUGGGGGGACCAUCCUCCAAGGCUAAAUACUCCUGACUGACCGAUAGUGAACCAGUACCGUGAGGGAAAGGCGAAAAGAACCCCGGCGAGGGGAGUGAAAAAGAACCUGAAACCGUGUACGUACAAGCAGUGGGAGCCCCACCACCAAAGCAUUCUCUGGUGUUGAAGGCCCUGCAAAGCAGCAUCGCGGUGGCGGAGCGUCGUUUGCGACGCCCAACACACAAAACAAGCGGUGAGUGCUUUGGGGUGGGGUGACUGCGUACCUUUUGUAUAAUGGGUCAGCGACUUAUAUUCUGUAGCAAGGUUAACCGUAUAGGGGAGCCGUAGGGAAACCGAGUCUUAACCGGGCGUUAAGUUGCAGGGUAUAGACCCGAAACCCGGUGAUCUAGCCAUGGGCAGGUUGAAGGUUGGGUAACACUAACUGGAGGACCGAACCGACUAAUGUUGAAAAAUUAGCGGAUGACCUGUGGCUGGGGGUGAAAGGCCAAUCAAACCGGGAGAUAGCUGGUUCUCCCCGAAAGCUAUUUAGGUAGCGCCUCGUGAACUCAUCUCCGGGGGUAGAGCACUGUUUCGGCUAGGGGGCCAUCCCGGCUUACCAACCCGAUGCAAACUGCGAAUACCGGAGAAUGUUAUCACGGGAGACACACGGCGGGUGCUAACGUCCGUCGUGAAGAGGGAAACAACCCAGACCGCCAGCUAAGGUCCCAAAGUCAUGGUUAAGUGGGAAACGAUGUGGGAAGGCCCAGACAGCCAGGAUGUUGGCUUAGAAGCAGCCAUCAUUUAAAGAAAGCGUAAUAGCUCACUGGUCGAGUCGGCCUGCGCGGAAGAUGUAACGGGGCUAAACCAUGCACCGAAGCUGCGGCAGCGACGCUGAUGCGUUGUUGGGUAGGGGAGCGUUCUGUAAGCCUGUGAAGGUGGCCUGUGAGGGUUGCUGGAGGUAUCAGAAGUGCGAAUGCUGACAUAAGUAACGAUAAAGCGGGUGAAAAGCCCGCUCGCCGGAAGACCAAGGGUUCCUGUCCAACGUUAAUCGGGGCAGGGUGAGUCGACCCCUAAGGCGAGGCCGAAAGGCGUAGUCGAUGGGAAACGGGUUAAUAUUCCCGUACUUGGUGUUACUGCGAAGGGGGGACGGAGAAGGCUAUGUUGGCCGGGCGACGGUUGUCCCGGUUUAAGCGUGUAGGUGUGUGUUCCAGGUAAAUCCGGUUCACUUUAACACUGAGGCGUGAUGACGAGGCACUACGGUGCUGAAGCAACAAAUGCCCUGCUUCCAGGAAAAGCCUCUAAGCAUCAGGUAACAUCAAAUCGUACCCCAAACCGACACAGGUGGUCAGGUAGAGAAUACCAAGGCGCUUGAGAGAACUCGGGUGAAGGAACUAGGCAAAAUGGUGCCGUAACUUCGGGAGAAGGCACGCUGACACGUAGGUGAAGUGAUUUACUCACGGAGCUGAAGUCAGUCGAAGAUACCAGCUGGCUGCAACUGUUUAUUAAAAACACAGCACUGUGCAAACACGAAAGUGGACGUAUACGGUGUGACGCCUGCCCGGUGCCGGAAGGUUAAUUGAUGGGGUCAGCGCAAGCGAAGCUCCUGAUCGAAGCCCCGGUAAACGGCGGCCGUAACUAUAACGGUCCUAAGGUAGCGAAAUUCCUUGUCGGGUAAGUUCCGACCUGCACGAAUGGCGUAAUGAUGGCCAGGCUGUCUCCACCCGAGACUCAGUGAAAUUGAACUCGCUGUGAAGAUGCAGUGUACCCGCGGCAAGACGGAAAGACCCCGUGAACCUUUACUAUAGCUUGACACUGAACAUUGAGCCUUGAUGUGUAGGAUAGGUGGGAGGCUUUGAAGUGUGGACGCCAGUCUGCAUGGAGCCGACCUUGAAAUACCACCCUUUAAUGUUUGAUGUUCUAACGUGGACCCGUGAUCCGGGUUGCGGACAGUGUCUGGUGGGUAGUUUGACUGGGGCGGUCUCCUCCUAAAGAGUAACGGAGGAGCACGAAGGUUGGCUAAUCCUGGUCGGACAUCAGGAGGUUAGUGCAAUGGCAUAAGCCAGCUUGACUGCGAGCGUGACGGCGCGAGCAGGUGCGAAAGCAGGUCAUAGUGAUCCGGUGGUUCUGAAUGGAAGGGCCAUCGCUCAACGGAUAAAAGGUACUCCGGGGAUAACAGGCUGAUACCGCCCAAGAGUUCAUAUCGACGGCGGUGUUUGGCACCUCGAUGUCGGCUCAUCACAUCCUGGGGCUGAAGUAGGUCCCAAGGGUAUGGCUGUUCGCCAUUUAAAGUGGUACGCGAGCUGGGUUUAGAACGUCGUGAGACAGUUCGGUCCCUAUCUGCCGUGGGCGCUGGAGAACUGAGGGGGGCUGCUCCUAGUACGAGAGGACCGGAGUGGACGCAUCACUGGUGUUCGGGUUGUCAUGCCAAUGGCACUGCCCGGUAGCUAAAUGCGGAAGAGAUAAGUGCUGAAAGCAUCUAAGCACGAAACUUGCCCCGAGAUGAGUUCUCCCUGAGACUUAGAGUCUCCUGAAGGAACGUUGAAGACGACGACGUUGAUAGGCCGGGUGUGUAAGCGCAGCGAUGCGUUGAGCUAACCGGUACUAAUGAACCGUGAGGCUUAACCUU
rnacentral:rRNA from 1 species